rnacentral:rRNA from 1 species
UACGUAGGGUGCGAGCGUUACUCGGAAUCACUGGGCAUAAAGGGCGUGUAGGCGGGCUUUCAAGUCGGUUGUGAAAUCCCUCAGCUCAACUGAGGAACUGCAUCCGAUACUGUUUGUCUUGAGGACGAGAGGGGAGAGUGGAACUUCUGGUGGAGCGGUGAAAUGCGUAGAUAUCAGAAGGAACGCCGGUGGCGAAAGCGACUCUCUGGCUCGUAACUGACGCUGAAACGCGAAAGCUUGGGUAGCAAACGGG